UACGGGGGGAGCAAGCGUUGUUCGGAUUUACUGGGCGUAAAGGGCGCGUAGGCGGUCAGGUCAGUCCCGUGUGAAAUCCCUCGGCUCAACUGAGGAACUGCACGGGAAACUACCUGGCUUGAGUUCGGGAGAGGGAAGCGGAAUUCCGGGUGUAGCGGUGAAAUGCGUAGAUAUCCGGAGGAACACCGGUGGCGAAGGCGGCUUCCUGGACCGACACUGACGCUGAGGCGCGAAAGCUAGGGGAGCAAACGGG
rnacentral:rRNA from 1 species